GAUGAACGCUGGCGGCGUGCCUAAUACAUGCAAGUCGAGCGAACGGACGAGAAGCUUGCUUUUCUGAUGUUAGCGGCGGACGGGUGAGUAACACGUGGAUAACCUCCCUAUAAGACUGGGAUAACUUCGGGAAACCGGAGCUAAUACCGGAUAAUAUUUUGAAACGCAUGGUUCAAAAGUGAAAGACGGUCUUGCUGUCACUUAUAGAUGGAUCCGCGCUGCAUUAGCUAGUUGGUAAGGUAACGGCUUACCAAGGCAACGAAGCAUAGCCGACAUGAGAGGGUGAUCGGCCAGACGGGAACAGAGACUGAGUACAGACUCCGACGGGAAGCAGCAGUAGGGAAUCUUCCGCGAGGGGCGAGAGCCUAACAGAGCACAGCCGCGGGAGUCAUGAAGGUCUUCGGAUCGUAGAACUCUGUUAUUAGGGAGGUUGAAAUGUGUAAGUGACUGUGAACAUCUUGACGGUACCUAAUCAGAAAGCCACGGCUAACUACGUG
rnacentral:rRNA from 1 species